rnacentral:lncRNA from 1 species
CAGGGCUCGGCUUCUGGGACAACUGUUCCCGGGAAGACUCGCGGCGCUGUGGCCGUGAGGGUGAGGCACACUCCCUCCACCCACUCCUGUAUCCAUGUGGCCCUUGAUUUGGUCACGGUCUCCUGAUUGGUGAAGGUGGAAACAAGCGCCCACAGAGGCCAGGUCGUUGCUCAGACCCUGCGGCUGCCCGGUGGCAGCGCUAGGAUCUGGACGUCAGCCACCCUCCACGCUCUGCUGUUCCUGUUCCAAAGGUGGCGGUGGUGAGAGGCUGCCCCAGCAGGACCGCAGCACAUUCAGGCCUGGUGGAUGGGCUGACUCCAGGGAACACUGAGAGGCCGCUGACACAGCCCUGCCUUUGAAAUGCACUCCCUCUUGGCUUUACCCGCAGUCUACUAUUAUGAGCAAGGGGGCUUGUUAAACAAGGGGCAGGGGCCAGUUGUAGGGCCCAGAGAGCCGGCUUCCCAUCCCCAGAGAGGGCUGAUGGAAGAGCCACAACCCCUGGAAAGGCAACAGCUCAGAGCCUGGCCGUCCUGUGCCCAGAGGGUACGCAGAUCGUGUGACGCGGAGGCUGCAUCAGAGGACCGGGGCCAGAGUGGUUCUCAAGACGAUGUCAUCAUGGCUGGCGUUCAAGCAUCUGCCUAUGGCGCCAGCAUCCCAUAUGGGCGCCGGUUCGAGUCCCGGCUGCACACUUCUGAUCCAGCUCUCUGGGAAAGCAGUAGAAGAUGGUCCAAGUGCUUGGGACCCUGCACCUGUGUGGGAGACUUGGAAGAAACUCCUGGCCCUUGGCUUUGGAUUGGCUCAGCUCCAGCUGUCAUAGCCAUUUGGGGAGUGAACCAGUGGAUGGGAAGACCUCUCUCUCUGUCUCUCCCUUUCUGUAACGAUGCCUCUCAAGUAAGCAAAUAA